CACUAAAUGGCUGAAAGUAAGCAAUGAAAUUUUAAAUCAUUUUAUAAUAUUCUAACAAAUAUUUUUAGUGA
rnacentral:tRNA from 1 species